rfam:Rattus norvegicus chromosome 15, whole genome shotgun sequence.
GGGGAUUUGGCUCAGUGGUAGAGCGCUUGCCUAGGAAGCGCAAGGUCCUGGGUUCAAUUCCCAGCCCCG